GACGAACGCUGGCGGCGUGCUUAACACAUGCAAGUCGAACGGAAAGGCCCUGCUUUUGUGGGGUGCUCGAGUGGCGAACGGGUGAGUAACACGUGAGUAACCUGCCCUUGACUUUGGGAUAACUUCAGGAAACUGGGGCUAAUACCGGAUAGGAGCUCCUGCUGCAUGGUGGGGGUUGGAAAGUUUCGGCGGUUGGGGAUGGACUCGCGGCGUAUCAGCUAGUUGGUGGGGUAGUGGCUUACCAAGGCUUUGACGGGUAGCCGGCCUGAGAGGGUGACCGGCCACACUGGAACUGAGACGCGGUCCAGACGCCUACGGGAGGCAGCAGUAGGGAAUCUUCCGCAAUGGGCGAAAGCCGGACGGAGCAACGCCGCGUGAGUGACGAAGGUCUUCGGAUCGUAAAACUCUGUUAUUAGGGAAGAACAAAUGUGUAAGUAACUAUGCACGUCUUGACGGUACCUAAUCAGAAAGCCACGGCUAACUACGUG
rnacentral:rRNA from 1 species